rnacentral:rRNA from 1 species
UGGGGAAUAUUGCGCAAUGGGCGGAAGCCUGACGCAGCGACGCCGCGUGGGGGAUGACGGCCUUCGGGUUGUAAACCUCUUUCGACCGGGACGAAGCGUAAGUGACGGUACCGGUAUAAGAAGCACCGGCCAACUACGUGCCAGCAGCCGCGGUAAUACGUAGGGUGCGAGCGUUGUCCGGAAUUAUUGGGCGUAAAGAGCUCGUAGGCGGUGUGUCACGUCGAUCGUGAAAACUUACAGCUUAACUGUGAGCGUGCGGUCGAUACGGGCAUCACUGGAGUUCGGCAGGGGAGACUGGAAUUCCUGGUGUAGCGGUGAAAUGCGCAGAUAUCAGGAGGAACACCGGUGGCGAAGGCGGGUCUCUGGGCCGAUACUGACGCUGAGGAGCGAAAGCGUGGGGAGCGAACAGGAUUAGAUACCCUGGUAGUCCACGCCGUAAACGUUGGGCGCUAGGUGUGGGGAUCAUUCCACGGUCUCUGUGCCGCAGCUAACGCAUUAAGCGCCCCGCCUGGGGAGUACGGCCGCAAGGCUAA